GCAGUCACUGCAGCUGAUGGGACCACCAAGUUGCUUAUAAAACUCGAAGACAACCGACUGGUCGAGACUGUUGGAAUUCCAGUUAAAGACAAUGAUGGUUCAUCUCGCUUGACAGCAUGUGUUUCAUCUCAGGUGGGCUGUCCGUUGCGCUGUUCGUUCUGUGCGACUGGCAAGGGAGGAUUCUCAAGGAACCUUAAGAGCCAUGAAAUCGUUGAGCAGGUGUUGGCAAUAGAAGAGCUAUUCAAGCAGAGAGUGACAAACGUUGUGUUUAUGGGUAUGGGUGAGCCAAUGUUGAACAUGAAAGAAGUCCUUGAAGCAUACCGUUGCCUGAAUAAGGAUAUUCUGAUUGGGCAAAGGAUGAUUACUAUUUCAACCGUUGGAGUUCCAAACACCAUAAAGAAGCUUGCAUCUUACAAACUUCAGUCUACGCUGGCUCUCAGCUUACAUGCUCCAAAUCAGAGUCUUCGAGAAAAGAUUGUACCAAGUGCAAAAUCCUACCCUUUGAAUGCAAUAAUGAAGGAUUGCAGGGACUACUUCCUGGAAACUAGAAGAAGGGUUUCCUUUGAAUAUACACUUCUAGCCGGAGUGAAUGAUUCCGUCAAGCAUGCAAUUGAACUGGCAGAAUUGCUUCAUGAAUGGGGUCGUGGCCAUCAUGUUAACUUAAUACCAUUCAAUCCAAUAGAUGGUUCGGAGUAUAAGCGUCCAUCCAAAAAAUCUGUUAUUGCAUUUGUCUCUGCUCUUGAAUCUCGUAAAGUAACUGCUAGUGUACGUCAAACAAGGGGACUUGAUGCAAGUGCUGCUUGUGGACAGUUGAGGAAUGAGUUUCAGAAGAGCCCUUUGCUUAGUGGAAGUAUAGAUCAGGAAUCUCAUUCUGAAGUUGCACUUGCAUCUUGAUAUCUUAAAUUCCUGAUAGCCUUGCUGAAAUUACAUGACUUGUGUGUUUAACCGUGUUAGCAGUAAUUGAGAGCUUCUUAAAGAACAAGUCUUGUCUGGGUAAAAGUUGCUUUAAGGUGGAGCAUAAAGAGUGGUUACAUGAAGGUGGUCUCAACUCUCAUGUUUGCAUGCCUUGUGAUGUUGGUGAAAUUUGUUCUUAUAGGAGCAUAAUUGAUCAAUUUUUUGAGCUUGUUCUUAUGGGCGUUUUCCUGUCUCAAAAUGCUCCUCUGUGCUCCAGCAAUGUAAAUAUUCAGUACUUAACGAGAUGAGAAAGGUAAUUUUUG
rnacentral:misc_RNA from 1 species